rnacentral:lncRNA from 1 species
GAACACAUGCUGGCUGUGUAAAGGAAAAGCUAAUUAUUCCCUGCAUUCUCCAAGCUUCUGCAUCCCCCGCCCCACCAAGAUAACCAGUGUUGCCAGCCUGCUGAAUAUUUCUUCUUGCAGUUCUCCCUGUGAGAAAAGGAAAAACUGAGACUGAUGACUACCUGGCAAUGGAUUUGUUAAAGGAAAGGAGGAAAGAGGUGAAAGCAUCUCAAAAGCCAUGGCCAG